AUUGAACGCUGGCGGCAUGCCUUACACAUGCAAGUCGAACGGCAGCAUGAUCUAGCUUGCUAGAUUGAUGGCGAGUGGCGAACGGGUGAGUAAUACAUCGGAACGUGCCCUGUAGUGGGGGAUAACUAGUCGAAAGAUUAGCUAAUACCGCAUACGACCUGAGGGUGAAAGUGGGGGACCGCAAGGCCUCAUGCUAUAGGAGCGGCCGAUGUCUGAUUAGCUAGUUGGUGAGGUAAAGGCUCACCAAGGCGACGAUCAGUAGCUGGUCUGAGAGGACGAUCAGCCACACUGGGACUGAGACACGGCCCAGACUCCUACGGGAGGCAGCAGUGGGGAAUUUUGGACAAUGGGGGCAACCCUGAUCCAGCAAUGCCGCGUGUGUGAAGAAGGCCUUCGGGUUGUAAAGCACUUUUGUCCGGAAAGAAAUCGCACUUACUAAUAUUAGGUGUGGAUGACGUAC
rnacentral:rRNA from 1 species